ensembl:misc_RNA Y_RNA Y RNA
GGCUGGUCCAAGUGCAGUGGUGUUUACAAUUAAUUGAUCGCAGCCAAUUACACAUUUAUUCCUUCCUUCUCCGCUCCUACUGAUUCAUUUGACUAGCGGAA